GUCUACGUCCAUGCCACCCUGAACAAGCCGGAUUCCGUCCGAUCUCGGAAGCUAAGCAGGGUCGGGCCUGGUUAGUACUUGGAUGGGAGACCACCUAGGAAGACCAGGCACUGUAGGAG
rnacentral:rRNA from 1 species